CUUGUACGUCUUUUCUUCCUCUCUCUCCUUUCUAUCCCUUGGCACUUCUCCUUCCUAUCGUCUCUUGCCCUAACCUACCAUCUUAACCCUCCUACCCAUGCCUUCAUUCUUGUAACCCUUUUUUUUCUCUUUCUCUCAUUCCCGCACUCUUAACUAACCUCGCCUUCUUUUUCCUAGCUUCGUCAUCUCUUCUCUUUUCACCCUCACUUUUCCUCCUCUGCACUCCCCUUCGCCCCUGGCACCACGUGCAACGAGAGUGGAAGCAACUUCCACCGUCAUCAGCUCAUGACUAAGACUACCACAUCAUCGACCUCAACAUCGAGGACAACGACUACACCGACCAACAUAGACUCGGUUCACUGCGCUCGGUGACCACGCUGGAAGCAGCAACAGCGACUACCAAACGGAUGUAUUGACAGUUUGCUGUUGGUCACUCCGACCGACAAGUGCUUGACUGUGGGGGGCUCUACUGCUGGGGGAAGCGGCUACCAACGCUAAUGCUGCACGUGACUACGACUAUCAUCAACUGAUCUCAACAACAGGAAAGCACAAUGCCCACGCCGACCAACGCAUAAACCACUGUACUGAUGGUGGUCAGUGACUACGCCGAGUAAAGCAACAGCGGCUACCAAAAGGGAAAUACUAAAAGUUUCCCUGUUGUUACUCCACCAACUCCUUCUCGACUAACGGGACUGGUUUGAAAGACUGGCGUGACCACCACUGCCAUCUACGUGGCUGGCUCAUGCUGCACGUGACUACGACUAGCACACCAUCGACCUCGACAACAGCUGGCUACGAAAGGACAGCGACUACGCCAAACAAAGCAGCGGCAGCUAUCCUAGGGAUGUAUUCUUUUCCUAUUCCUCUAUUCCUAUUCCUUGCUAUCACUUGCUACAUCGGCAACCAUACUUUGAA